UGACACCACAGCUGCCAACACUCAGCGAGGUGUGGAUGGAUGCUGCCUCCUGCCGCAGCUGCUCCAUGGCCAGCCAGGGCUGCUGGUGGGAAGCCCGUGCAGAGCAGGGCAGGAGGGCUGGGCCGGGGCUGCCGGCCCCCAGCACCGCUCAGCCUUCAGGGCUGAGCAGCGCUUGUGCUUGGCACAGGGAAGCAGAGGUGCAGAAGCACUUAUCCACAGCCCUGAAAGAGGCUGCAGGCACAGUGAGCGUGGAGCUGGUGCUUGGCCUUGUGCGGCAACCUCUUGUGCUGGUCUCGUUUUCAGCAAAACCCCUCUGGGCUGGGAGGCAGCUGCCUGUGGUGCAGAGGGUGGGAGCCACAGCUGGCUGGGACCCUGGGGCAGCAUGACGCUGCUGCACAGGAGACAGAGAGGGGCAACUGGGAAGGGAACUACCCCCCUGCUUCUGCUGUCUGGAAGUUUUCCUCGGCUUAAAGUAACACCAGACCAUCACCAGAUCAUGUCUCUGUGCAGUAGUGGAGUGCUCCCCUCCCUGCAAGCAUGGCAAAAAAAAAAAAAAAAAAAAGUGAUGACGAUCAGGCUAUGCAUCAUUUAGAUACAACAAAUGCUUUUAUAAAUGUCAAUAACAGCAUAAUUGAAGUGUCCAGCCUGGCCUUGCCACUUCUGCUUGCCUUACUGGAGGCAGAGGCCGCUUGUCCAGCAGGGGAGCAGCUCCAGAGGGGCCGCAGCUGCUGCCUGGCAGGGCUCAGGGGCUACAGCUGCUGGGCAGCUCACAAAGAGAAGGGGCCAGGGCCGGGUGCUGCUGAGGGUUGUGCCCUGCCCGUUCUGGAGGCUAACGGUGCAGGGGCUUGUUCUCCAGCUUUCACAUCUCAGGGCAGCACAGGAGAACAGCUGUGGUACCCUGCGGAGUCCCCCCAGAGCUGCAGGGGGAAAUCCUCCUCUGCUGGUGACGGUGCCUCUGUUUGCACACCAGCCUGCCUGGCCGCCACCUCACGCUGGGACCUGCUGCCAUGCUGCUUGUCACCGUGUCCCAGGCGCUUUGCCAGCCUGCUGCCCGGCAGGCACAGCUUCUGGAGGAGCUGUGUGUGCCCGGGCCCCGCUGCCUCCUGCCCCACGCCUGCCGCAGCCGCCGGCCCCAGCAGCGCCCCGGGGAGCAGCACCCUGGUGGGGAUUCCUCACCGACAGGAGGUUCGGCCGCUGCUGCAUCUGUUCAGUGCGGGCUCUUGUAGAGCACGGUAUUUCGAUUGGAAUGGCACGUGA
rnacentral:lncRNA from 1 species